GACGAACGCUGGCGGCGUGCCUAAUACAUGCAAGUCGAACGCUGAAGGAGGAGCUUGCUUCUCUGGAUGAGUUGCGAACGGGUGAGUAACGCGUAGGUAACCUGCCUGGUAGCGGGGGAUAACUAUUGGAAACGAUAGCUAAUACCGCAUAAGAGUAGAUGUCGCAUGACAUGUGCUUAAAAGUUGCAAUUGCAUCACUACCAGAUGGACCUGCGUUGUAUUAGCUAGUUGGUGAGGUAACGGCUCACCAAGGCGACGAUACAUAGCCGACCUGAGAGGGUGAGCGGCCACACUGGGACUGAGACACGGCCCAUACGCCUUCGGGAGGCAGCCGGAGGGAAACGUCGGCAAGGGAUGGAAGACUGACCGCGAAACGCCGAGGGAGGGUAGAAGGGUGUCAGAUCGGAAAGGUCGGUUGUAAGGGAAGAAAGAGUGUGAGAGUGGAAAGUUCACACUGUGACGGUAACUGACCAGAAAGGGACGGCUAACUACGUG
rnacentral:rRNA from 1 species